AAAAUGAAGACUGUUCAAAAUGA
rnacentral:miRNA from 1 species